UGCACUUGAUAAACAUUCACAGUUUGACAUCAUAAAACGGUUUCAUUUUCAAUUGCCAAGCCUUCCUCGCAAUGUUGUCAUCAUUAUUUUUCGUAACGUUUGCAAUUCUUGCAAUCGGAAGUCAUCAAGCGAAUGGAACAGUUGGCCCAGACGAGUGUGCCCUUAUCCAAUGUGCGCAAGGGUUCCGGUGUCAAUUUAGCAACGGACGUGCAACUUGCCAACGAAUUCGUGAAGGUGGAUCACCUGGUCCAGGAGGACCUCCUCGACUCACAUGUGCCAAUAUUCGCUGUGGGCGGGGGACUUUUUGCGUCUUGCUGCAAGUGAAUUGUUAUCGAGCACCGUGUUUCCCAACGGUUCCGAGAUGUGUGCCGCGUCGUGGGGGAAGAUUUAAUUGAUAAUCCGGUUGGUAAUGUACAGUAAUGAAGACUUGAUCAAUUUUGUUUUCCCAAAAAAUUUGCAAGAAUUAAGUUCGAUAAUCGGACACAUUAAUUUGUUAGACGUUUAUUUGUACUGCUUUUAUAGGAAAUUAAAGUAAUUUAUUUUCAAAAAAUUAUGAUUUUGUAAUUGCAUAGAUAUCCCUAAAUUAAAAAAAACUUUAGUGAUUUUAAACCAAUGAAAUAUUUUUUCUUGUAAUAUGUUGAUUUAGAUGCUGUCAAACUAUAAGUCGUAACAAAUUAAUUAUUGCUAAUAUGAUUAGUUUUACAAAUUAAUGAAAUUAUGAAAUAUCUACAAUGACAUGUUUUUAAAGAAACAAUUUUUUAUCGAAACCAAGAAUCCUUGAUUUCAUUUCCAGGUGAACUACCCACUUUCUAAAUAUCUAUUUGCGUUCCCCAUCUCGAAACUGUACAAGAACCACGAGAAAUGUAAGAACCGCAGAGAAAAUCUGUAAUGAAUAAAUAUUUCAAUUCAAUCACUGA